AGCUGCUGCCAUGGAGCCAGCCGGCCUAGAGCAGCUCCUACGGGAGCUGCUGCUACCGGACACCGAGCGCAUCCGUCGGGUACGAAGCAGGCGUAACCGGGCCAGGGCGAGCGGGAGGUUGCGGGAAAGGCCCGACUCUCACCCCUAGCUUCCCCCCAGGCCACGGAACAGCUUCAGAUCGUUCUUCGGGCCCCCGCCGCUUUGCCGGCUCUCUGCGACCUGCUAGCCUCGGCGGCCGACCCCCAGAUCCGCCAGUUUGCGGCCGUGCUGACCCGCAGACGACUGAACACCCGCUGGCGACGGCUGGCGGCGGAGCAACGGGAGAGCCUCAAGUCCCUGAUCCUGACGGCCCUGCAGAGAGAAACAGAGCACUGUGUGAGCCUCAGCCUGGCCCAGCUCUCAGCCACCAUUUUUCGAAAGGAAGGCCUGGAGGCCUGGCCACAGCUUUUGCAGCUGCUUCAGCACAGUACCCACAGCCCCCACAGCCCAGAGAGAGAGAUGGGGCUUUUGCUGCUAAGUGUGGUGGUGACCUCCCGGCCCGAGGGCUUCCAACCCCACCACCGGGAGCUUCUUCGGCUUCUGAAUGAGACUCUUGGUGAGGUGGGCUCUCCUGGGCUGCUCUUCUACUCCCUGCGCACUCUGACCACCAUGGCCCCCUACCUCAGCACUGAAGAUGUGCCUCUCGCCCGGAUGUUGGUGCCCAAGCUGAUCAUGGCCGUGCAGACUCUGAUCCCCAUAGAUGAGGCAAAGGCCUGUGAGGCCCUUGAGGCUUUGGAUGAACUGUUGGAGUCAGAGGUGCCCGUCAUCACCCCCUACCUCUCUGAAGUCCUCACAUUCUGCCUGGAGGUGGCUAGAAAUGUGGCCCUGGGCAAUGCGAUACGCGUACGUAUUCUCUGCUGCCUCACUUUCUUGGUCAAAGUCAAGAGCAAGGCCUUACUGAAGAAUCGUCUCCUGCCACCCUUGCUGCACACCCUUUUCCCCAUUAUGGCUGCUGAGCCCCCACCAGGCCAGUUGGAUCCCGAGGACCAGGAUUCAGAAGAGGAAGAGUUGGAGAUUGAGCUGAUGGGGGAGACCCCCAAGCAUUUCGCUGUACAAGUUGUGGACAUGCUGGCACUACACCUGCCCCCCGAGAAGCUCUGUCCCCAGCUGAUGCCCAUGUUGGAAGAGGCCUUGCGGAGCGAGAGCCCAUACCAGCGCAAAGCUGGACUCCUGGUGCUGGCUGUGCUGUCUGACGGAGCUGGCGACCACAUCAGGCAGAGACUGCUGCCCCCACUGCUACAGAUAGUGUGCAAGGGCCUGGAGGACCCCUCGCAAGUUGUACGCAAUGCUGCGCUGUUUGCCCUGGGCCAGUUCUCAGAAAACCUACAGCCCCAUAUCAGCAGCUAUUCAAGGGAGGUGAUGCCACUGCUCCUCACCUACCUGAAGUCGGUGCCUCUUGGACACACACACCACCUAGCCAAGGCCUGCUAUGCCCUGGAGAAUUUUGUGGAGAACCUAGCUACGGCUGCCCAGGCCUCGCUGCUGCCCUACUUCCCUGCCAUCAUGGAACACCUGCGGGAAUUCCUGUUAACAGGCCGUGAGGACCUUCAGCCUGUGCAGAUCCAGAGCCUGGAGACACUGGGGGUGCUGGCACGAGCAGUGGGGGAGCCCAUGAGGCCGCUGGCUGAGGAAUGCUGCCAGCUGGGUCUGGGCCUCUGCAACCAGGUAGACGACCCUGACUUGCGGCGCUGCACUUACAGCCUAUUUGCAGCCUUAUCGGGUCUGAUGGGCGAGGGCAUGGCACCCCACUUGGAACAGAUCACCACGCUCAUGCUGCUGUCACUGCGUUCCACCGAGGGCAUUGUGCUUCAGUAUGACGGGAGCAGCUCCUUCCUUCUGUUUGACGAUGAGAGUGAUGGGGAAGAAGAGGAGGAGCUCAUGGAUGAGGAUGUGGAAGAAGAGGAUGACUCAGAGAUCUCAGGGUACAGCGUGGAGAACGCCUUCUUCGAUGAGAAGGAAGACACCUGUGCUGCCAUGGGGGAGAUCUCUGUGAACACCAGGUGAGCAUUUGCCCUUCCCUGGCACUGAAAACCCUGCCUGGGGGCCCCUUCCCCACGGCUGUGUCUCUCUCUCUAGUGUGGCCUUCCUUCCAUACAUGGAAAGUGUCUUUGAAGAAGUAUUUAAACUGCUGGAGGUGAGUGGGCUGGCGGGUGGAGUGGGUGGGGCUCUCAGGCUGGGGGCCCUGUGUUCACAGUGCACACAGCAGACACAUCCCGCCCCUCCUCAUCCUGCAGUGCCCUCACCUGAAUGUGCGGAAGGCAGCCCAUGAGGCUCUGGGUCAGUUUUGCUGUGCACUGCACAAGGUCUGUCAAAGCUGCCCCUCGGAACCCAACACUGCUGCUUUGCAGGCUGCCCUGGCCCGAGUGGUGCCAUCCUACAUGCAGGCAGUGAACAGGGAGCGGGAGCGCCAGGUGGUGAUGGCCGUGCUGGAGGCCCUGACAGGGGUGCUCCGCAGCUGUGGGACCCUCACACUGAAGCCCCCUGGGCGCCUUGCUGAGCUCUGUAGCAUGCUCAAGGCUGUGCUGCAGAGGAAGACAGCCUGUCAGGAUACUGACGAGGAGGAAGAGGAAGAUGAUGAUCAGGCUGAAUACGACGCCAUGUUGCUGGAGCACGCUGGAGAGGCCAUCCCUGCCCUGGCAGCCGCGGCUGGGGGAGACUCCUUUGCCCCAUUCUUUGCUGGUUUCCUGCCAUUAUUGGUGUGCAAGACAAAACAGGGCUGCACAGUGGCAGAGAAGUCCUUUGCAGUGGGAACCUUGGCAGAGACUAUUCAGGGCCUGGGUGCCGCCUCAGCCCAGUUUGUGUCUCGGCUGCUCCCUGUGCUGUUGAGCACCGCCCGAGAGGCAGACCCCGAGGUGCGAAGCAAUGCCAUCUUUGGGAUGGGCGUGCUGGCAGAGCAUGGGGGCCACCCUGCCCAGGAACACUUCCCCAAGCUGCUGGGGCUCCUUUUUCCCCUCCUGGCGCGGGAGCGACAUGAUCGUGUCCGUGACAACAUCUGUGGGGCACUUGCCCGCCUGUUGAUGGCCAGUCCCACCAGGAAACCAGAGCCCCAGGUGAGGGAGGGAGACAUCAGGCAGGGCUUGGAAGCUGAGGAGGGCAGGGCAGGUUGGCCUGAGACAUUUGUGUGCCCAGGUGCUGGCUGCCCUACUGCAUGCCCUGCCACUGAAGGAGGACUUGGAGGAGUGGGUCACCAUUGGGCGCCUCUUCAGCUUCCUGUACCAGAGCAGCCCUGACCAGGUUAUAGAUGUGGCUCCUGAGCUUCUGCGUAUCUGCAGCCUCAUUCUGGCUGACAACAAGAUCCCACCAGACACCAAGGCCGCACUGUUGCUGCUCCUGACGUUCCUGGCCAAACAGCACGCCGACAGCUUCCAAGCAGCUCUGGGCUCACUGCCUGUUGACAAGGCUCAGGAGCUCCAGGCUGUACUGGGCCUCUCCUAG
rnacentral:sRNA from 1 species